GGCAGGAUGGCUCAAUGGAAAGAGCACAGGCUGGGGAGCCAGAGGUCAUGGGUUCAAAUCCCAGGUCCGCCG
rnacentral:tRNA from 1 species